AAUAGAUACCCGGGUAGUCCAUGCCGUAAACGUUGGGCACUAGGUGUGGGGGACAUUCCACGUUUUUCCGCGCCGUAGCUAACGCAUUAAGUGCCCCGCCUGGGGAGUACGGCCGCAAGGCUAAAACUCAAAGGAAUUGACGGGGGCCCGCACAAGCGGCGGAGCAUGCGGAUUAAUUCGAUGCAACGCGAAGAACCUUACCAAGGCUUGACAUGAACCAGACCGGGCUGGAAACAGUCCUUCCCCUUGUGGGUUGGUUUACAGGUGGUGCAUGGUUGUCGUCAGCUCGUGUCGUGAGAUGUUGGGUUAAGUCCCGCAACGAGCGCAACCCUCGUUCUAUGUUGCCAGCACGUGAUGGUGGGGACUCAUAGGAGACUGCCGGGGUCAACUCGGAGGAAGGUGGGGACGACGUCAAAUCAGUCAUGCCCCUUAUGUCUUGGGCUCCACGCAUGCUACAAUGGCCGGUACAAAGGGUUGCGAUACUGUGAGGUGAGCUAAAGUCCCAAAAAGCCGGUCUCGAGUUCGGAUUGGGGUCUGCAACUCGACCCCAUGGAACG
rnacentral:rRNA from 1 species